rnacentral:lncRNA from 10 species
GGAUGGGCGAGGCGUGACCGAGGGGCGAGGCGUGACCGAGGGGCGAGGCGUGACCGAGGGGCGAGGCGUGACCGAGGGGCGAGGCGUGACCGAGGGGCGAGGCGUGACCGAGGGGCUCGCCGCGGCUCCUGCGCCUGCGCGGCGGGGAACGGCGACCGGCUGAGGGGACUAGGGGAGCGCGGUGCUUCGGUGGCGGAGGUCACGGUGGCCUCCAUCCUAAAGGGCUGCGGGCGUCCCGGACGGCGGUCCCAAGCGCUGCUCACGCUGCUCUUAAGUGAGCCCUGGACGAGGCGCGGUGGGCCCUCAUAGUCCGCGCCGGCGCCCUCGCUCCACACCGCGGCGUCCGGCCCUGGGCUCCCGCCGAUGUCCGCGUGGGACUUUUAGGGGAUUUGUUUAUUUUUGUACGUUAACCACACUAGAAACGGCCCCAGAAUGGGCUGAAACGUGUGCUGCUGAAGCUGCCACCUAAACUCCCGAGAGAAGCGCCGUUUCUCCUCCAUGGCUUCUCGCCGACGCCCUCGCUGCGGCCUUCCGGGCCCCUCGGUUGAUAAAAGGACUAAAUAGUGACGGACAUUUUUAAGGCUACUUAAGAAAUGGCAAAAAUACAUUUAGAGGUGUGAACCCGAACACACUGCGCGCUUUAAGCCCCGCGAGAGCCGGGGCCGCCCGCUUCUGUGCGCCCGUAGCUCCUUUCUCGGGUCCGGGAUUCGCCGGUGCCGGGGACAGAAACCUCCUGCCUUCUUAGUUCAUGACCCUUGUAGAUGAACUUCCCUGUUUUCUGCACUGCUUAGACCAGAAGACGGGAAACCGUGACUGCCGCACCCUUCCCUGAAGCAGGCACUGCCCGUCGUCCAUCAAACGCGAGGACUGCGCCCACCUCGUAGGAAGGACGCCGCGGUCCUGCUAAAAGCCUCCGCCUCUGCCUGCCCGAGGGCACCCUUCCCCUCCCCGCUUCCGAGGGCGGACUCCAUUCCUCUGGAGCCGGUGUUUCCGGAUUUGGAGAAGGGGAAAGCAGUUUCUCUUUGAAAAGAAGCAGCGAAUCGUGGCUUAAGCAAAAUUUGUAAUCCUUAAAACUGGCCAGGCUCUGGAGCUGAGUUCAAUUUGACAUGUCUAAACUUUCUUCUUGAGUAACCAGAUUUUCCCUUACAGUCUUUUGUCACUUAAGAGAACUCAUAGGCAAUCGUCCAUCCAAAACAAGUCUUUCUCCUUCAGGGAGGACCCAUCUUUGGAAACUCCAGCUGGUUUCCUGUGCAGUGCUUAUGGUGCCACCUCUCGUUAUAUUUAGAAAAAUGGUCUCACGUAACUUGAGAAAAAACAUUUCAGUGACCAAAGCCGGGUACCAUUGGAACACCAAGGUAAUUUACUUGUUUGCUCAAUUGGAAAACGCUGGCUCUAGGAUAAAACGGAAUCUUUGGGAGAGUUAUUUUUUAUGGUAGUUGGAAGCAUCCAAAAGAAGUUCUAAUAAAGGUAUUUAUGAGAGAAAAAC